rnacentral:rRNA from 1 species
AGAGCUUGAUCAUGGCUCAGAUUGAACGCUGGCGGCAGGCCUAACACAUGCAAGUCGAACGGUAACAGGAAGCAGCUUGCUGCUUCGCUGACGAGUGGCGGACGGGUGAGUAAUGUCUGGGAAGCUGCCUGAUGGAGGGGGAUAACUACUGGAAACGGUAGCUAAUACCGCAUAAUGUCGCAAGACCAAAGAGGGGGACCUUCGGGCCUCUUGCCAUCGGAUGUGCCCAGAUGGGAUUAGCUUGUUGGUGGGGUAACGGCUCACCAAGGCGACGAUCCCUAGCUGGUCUGAGAGGAUGACCAGCCACACUGGAACUGAGACACGGUCCAGACUCCUACGGGAGGCAGCAGUGGGGAAUAUUGCACAAUGGGCGCAAGCCUGAUGCAGCCAUGCCGCGUGUAUGAAGAAGGCCUUCGGGUUGUAAAGUACUUUCAGCAGGGAGGAAGGGAGUAAAGUUAAUACCUUUGCUCAUUGACGUUACCCGCAGAAGAAGCACCGGCUAACUCCGUGCCAGCAGCCGCGGUAAUACGGAGGGUGCAAGCGUUAAUCGGAAUUACUGGGCGUAAAGCGCACGCAGGCGGUUUGUUAAGUCAGAUGUGAAAUCCCCGGGCUCAACCUGGGAACUGCAUCUGAUACUGGCAAGCUUGAGUCUCGUAGAGGGGGGUAGAAUUCCAGGUGUAGCGGUGAAAUGCGUAGAGAUCUGGAGGAAUACCGGUGGCGAAGGCGGCCCCCUGGACGAAGACUGACGCUCAGGUGCGAAAGCGUGGGGAGCAAACAGGAUUAGAUACCCUGGUAGUCCACGCCGUAAACGAUGUCGACUUGGAGGUUGUGCCCUUGAGGCGUGGCUUCCGGAGCUAACGCGUUAAGUCGACCGCCUGGGGAGUACGGCCGCAAGGUUAAAACUCAAAUGAAUUGACGGGGGCCCGCACAAGCGGUGGAGCAUGUGGUUUAAUUCGAUGCAACGCGAAGAACCUUACCUGGUCUUGACAUCCACGGAAGUUUUCAGAGAUGAGAAUGUGCCUUCGGGAACCGUGAGACAGGUGCUGCAUGGCUGUCGUCAGCUCGUGUUGUGAAAUGUUGGGUUAAGUCCCGCAACGAGCGCAACCCUUAUCCUUUGUUGCCAGCGGUCCGGCCGGGAACUCAAAGGAGACUGCCAGUGAUAAACUGGAGGAAGGUGGGGAUGACGUCAAGUCAUCAUGGCCCUUACGACCAGGGCUACACACGUGCUACAAUGGCGCAUACAAAGAGAAGCGACCUCGCGAGAGCAAGCGGACCUCAUAAAGUGCGUCGUAGUCCGGAUUGGAGUCUGCAACUCGACUCCAUGAAGUCGGAAUCGCUAGUAAUCGUGAUCAGAAUGCCACGGUGAAUACGUUCCCGGGCCUUGUACACACCGCCCGUCACACCAUGGGAGUGGGUUGCAAAAGAAGUAGGUAGCUUAACCUUCGGGAGGGCGCUUACCACUUUGUGAUUCAUGACUGGGGUGAAGUCGUAACAAGGUA